AACGCUAGCUACAGGCUUAACACAUGCAAGUCGAGGGGCAGCAUGGUCUUAGCUUGCUAAGGCCGAUGGCGACCGGCGCACGGGUGAGUAACACGUAUCCAACCUGCCGUCUACUCUUGGACAGCCUUCUGAAAGGAAGAUUAAUACAAGAUGGCAUCAUGAGUCCGCAUGUUCACAUGAUUAAAGGUAUUCCGGUAGACGAUGGGGAUGCGUUCCAUUAGAUAGUAGGCGGGGUAACGGCCCACCAAGCCUUCGAUGGAUAGGGGUUCUGAGAGGAAGGUCCCCCACAUUGGAACUGAGACACGGUCCAAACUCCUACGGGAGGCAGCAGUGAGGAAUAUUGGUCAAUGGACGAGAGUCUGAACCAGCCAAGUAGCGUGAAGGAUGACUGCCCUAUGGGUUGUAAACUUCUUUUAUACGGGAAUAAAGUGAGGCACGCGUGCCUUUUUGUAUGUACCGUAUGAAUAAGGAUCGGCUAACUCCGUGCCAGCAGCCGCGGUAAUACGGAGGAUCCGAGCGUUAUCCGGAUUUAUUGGGUUUAAAGGGAGCGUAGGCGGACGCUUAAGUCAGUUGUGAAAGUUUGCGGCUCAACCGUAAAAUUGCAGUUGAUACUGGGUGUCUUGAGUACAGUAGAGGCAGGCGGAAUUCGUGGUGUAGCGGUGAAAUGCUUAGAUAUCACGAAGAACUCCGAUUG
rnacentral:rRNA from 1 species